CGUGUAUCAACAUCACAGUUUAACCGCAACCAAUGAGCUGCUAGAGAGAGCGAGAGAGCAGUUUUCCACUGACGUGGACCAAUCAGAUUAAAGAACACACAACCGCAUGAAAGAGCUUCAGCAGCACGAGCCGCUCAGCACCAGUGUCUGAGAUGGAGACAUCAAGAGUCGCUCUCAUCGCUCUCGUGUGUGUUGUGUUCUCCAGUCAGAAGAGGAUCUCUGGAGCAGAAGUGGAGAUGAGAGUCAGACGAGGAGACGACGUCACUCUCUACUGCGACUGUGUUUGGAAAAGUGGAUUAAAAACAGUGUGGUUUAGAAACUGCUCAGAAAAGGAUCAUCCUCGUUUCAUGAUCUCACUUGAUGAUUUGAUAGCUAGUGAGGUAUCGGGUGGUGAUUUGACACGUUACUCAUUUCUUGUAAAUGAUUCCACCAACACACACGAUCUACUGAUUAAGAACGUCACAGAAUCAGAUCAGGGCCUGUACUACUGCGCUAUGAGUGAGAAAAAGUUCAUGGAUAAUAACAACAGUGUCACGUACCCCCACGAUGUGUAUCAUUAUGGAAACAGAUCCACUCGACUCUCUGUACUCGGUAAGAUUGUCUCCUAUUCAUUGAGUUGGAUUUUCAGUCAUUUGUAAUUCUUGCUGUUUGAAAUGUGUGAGUUUUUCUCAGCAGAACCCUGUCCCAGUGUUUGUGUGUGUGUGUGUGUGUGUUCCUCAGCAGAACCCUGUCGCAGUGUGUGUGAGCCGUGUGUAUCAGAGCGGAGUGUUAGCUGGAAGCUGGUGUUCAGUGUGUGUGUUGUGUGUGUUCUCCUCUCCUCACUCCUCUCCUCCAUCUGUGUGUACUGCCUCUGCACAAACACCACUAAAGGUACUCACACACUCGCUCUAAUCACUAACACUGUUUCAGCAUUAAAUACAACA